AUCUCUCUCUCUCUUCUCUAUCUCAAUAGCAUGCUUAGCGAUAAUUUUUAAUUAAUUUAAUGCAGUUUGUUGAUGUUUGUGCUGUAGAGAUGUUAAUUUUCCCCGUGUAUGUGGCUACCUUUGUAUUUCUUUAUUAGCUUAGUUGUGUGUGAUACAGCUACAUGAUCAAAUAGAAAGUAGAAACCUAUUUUCUUAAGGGAAGAAAAUUAGGCUCACGUUGGCAGGCAAACGCACAUGAAUAAUAGUGAUUGCAUUUAUAGGCCGUGCUCCCAUGUUGGGUUCUGAAUUGCCUCUGCAGCCUAAAUAUUAGAUCAGAUCUUCGUCCUUUCUAUUGUUGAUUUGUGAUUUUAGUGCUUAAAGUCUUUUAUGUCCGUAGCCUCCUGUUUCCUUUCUGCUAUUGGGAAUAAAACUUAAAUCUUAAAAGAAAUAAAGAAAACGUGGAGACAUCUUCGCCACAGUGAGGCUUUUAAACAAUUGAGCUGGUUUUUCUUCUACUAAAUAUGGUUGUUGCUGUGCUAGUAUGGAUGAGGCAUUUAAUACUUGCGAAAUCAUGAUCAUUGUUUAAUGUUUUCAACUGUCUAUAUCAAAUUGGCUACUGCAUGGAUAUCGGUAAUAUUAGGGAGGGUAUUUGGAUGUAUAUGAAAAACUUUGCUGAAGCACUUGUUGAACCAACUUGUACUUCAUGAGUCAAAUUUACUGAAGCAAUUUACAUGUAAAUGUUUAAUUUCAUUUUUUCAAAUCUAAACCAAAUCUAUCUCCACCUUGGUGUAUGUGAGAUUUACUUUCUAUACUGUUUGUACAACACCAACACCAAACGUUUCAAUUGGUUGAGCAUACUAGUGGUCCUAGUUUUCUGCAAUAUUAAUGCAAAUAGUUAUGGUAAUUCAUUUGCCUUUUUCUUUUGUCUGCUGUAAAAGAUUUUUUUACUAAUUGACAUCUGUAAUGGUAGUGUUUUUAUCCGUAUUUCUGGUUUUAUGACUAGAUUUUCUGUUUCCAGUGGAGUGUGGGUUGCUGUGCAUGCCUGAGUAGGAAUUUAAAACAACUACUCGACAAUGGUCUACUGUGAAAGUCUAUUUAAAUGCUUGUCUUCUGAAAAAUAUUUCUUUUCACAUUAAAAAAAGUCUAGAGAAUAGUUGCAGUUCACAUGUAUAAAAUAUAAUCUCAAGUGAAAGCAAAUCUCGUUUCUCCAUCAUCCACAUCAUUAACAUAAAUGGAUACCCAUUAGAAUCUUUCGAUGAACACAAGAUAUCAUGGUAGAGUCGAGUACAAAUAGUUAGGUUCCCAAAAUAUUACAUUUCCUUAAGUUAGGUCACUGAUCUCCUCUUCUAUUACUUUCGAUUUUCAUGAUCACUGAUGAUUCUAUUUUGAGGUUGAGUAAAUAAUAAAAUAAUGGAUGGAUUUAUAGGGUUUCGUAAUGAGUACAGAUGGACUUUGUCGCCGGAGUUGGUAUUUAUUUAUACUUUUGUACUGUCACAGCAACAAUCGUAUAUAUAUAAUAUGGUUCUAGCUAUUUUUAGCAUCACUUGACAGAAUAUAUGUAUUAUUAAUUCGUUAUACCUGUUGCUGCACUGCUUUGAGGUUCUGGAUUUGGAUUGGAACGAAGUACCUUUUAUGUGUAAAGCCAGUGAUUAAUAUACUUUUCGAUAUGGUUAUGUGUGAACCUAAAGUCUGAAUUUAAAAGGAAGAUAUCACUGUAGAGGCAUAUGGCUUGUUAGCCAUUGAAGGUUUUUGUCUGAGGGGCUUUGUUCUCUUUUUCAGUUAAUGCAUGCUGGAACUGAUUCUUUGAAUUUUCUAGUGUGGCGCUUGUGUACACUAGACUUAUCUUGAAAAUAAAAUUUUGAGUAACAUAGGAUCAUCACAUGCUCUUAAUUUAAUUAUAUAGGGUCUAAUUAAAAAUCUGAAUCGUAUUUGUCUUUGAAAUGUUUUUAUUAAAGCUAUCUUUGUUUGUCUCUUGGGAGAUUCACGACAUGUUCAUAACAAUCCUUAAGAUUGAACGUAUUUAUCAAAUUUAUAAGACUUGUUUAACAUCUUAUUGGAGAGAUCUUGAAUCACCCCAAGAUAUGCCUCUUCUUUAUACGUUAUCACAUAUCGUCUUUUUUCCAUAUGAUAAUUCGUCAUCCUUAAAUAUAGUAUUUGGUGUAGAACGCACAUUUGAUGAAUUAACAUUUAAAUCUUGUUUGUAUGUGCCUACCAUGUAUCUUGUCUUCUCAUUGUUUGCUAAAAAAAGUCGUCUUGUAUCUCACCAUGAACAUGCAGCAUUAAUGUAAUUGGUUUUUGUUUUAUGUGGAUAUCCCUAGAAUUUGAAUAUGCAGUGCAAGAUUGAAAUCAUUCAAAAGGUUAUUUGUCAAGGUUUUUGUCUGUGAUGUUACAUUUAUGAGGUGUGAUGGCAUGUUCAUUCUCUAGAUCUAUUGCUUAGUUACAGGUGGGCAAUGCUUAGCCUGCAAUUUUAAUUUUCUCUUUAUUUAAGAUAUUUUCCUUUGAUGUUAAUUACUUCACAUCCUUAAUAAACCUAUUACCAUAUGUCAGUAUUUUGUUGAUGCUGAUACUAAUUCAUACCUUUACAACCAGACAGUUGACCAUAUUUACAAUUUUUUUGAGUUUAGCCUUACCAUGUUAUUAUACAUGGUCAUUUUUAAUUUUAGAGUUAUUUUGAACGACUUUGGACAACUGGACUACUGGUGCAGGAAAAUGUACAUUUGGAUUUAUCUAUCUAUAAUAAGGAAUUUACGUCUCUUGUGCAGCGGGGCUGCAUUUGUUUAUCCAACUGAGAGCUCGGGGAUGGCAAAAUUGCGGGUCUUCAACUUCAUGAAUAUGGAAAAUUUAACCUACGUGGGCCAAGCUUCUGCAUGGUGAUUUACAUGCUGCCUCAAUUCUCGAACCGAUAAACAUAAGGGAAAGCAGAAACUGUAAAUGCUAGUGCUAGGCUAUUUCAAAGAUAAACCAUGCACAAAUCAAUGCCCUCGGCCUCCAUUAUAAGUAGGGGACCAUUUAAUCUAAGUGAAAAAAUGGAAGUCUCCCGCGGUUAUCGCUGCAGCCAGCUGCCAUAUCAUCAUUAAGAUUCACUCUCUGCAACCCAGUUAGGGUUAUUCGCUUUAGAAAGUGGUUUCUAGCCACAAUUGACACAUGUGAUAUCACUGUCACUCCUUUCUCUGUGUUUGGCUCUGUUGUCUCGUGGGAGAUACAAGUAAUAAUUUAUUAUACUCAACUUGAAUGACUUUUCGAUAACUGAGUCUGAACCCAGAACAAUAUCUUUGUAUUUUGUGUCCAAAUUUUCUUUUCCAACAAAACUGUGUGGUUGGGGGGAGUGUACGUGAAUGGCUUUGCUGUUUUAGUGACAGAGAUUGGGAAGAUGAAAAAGUAGUGCGUGCCUUGCGCGUUACCUCUUUCUAUCAACAGUCAAACACUCGACAGUAAACUAUGCCUGCCGCAAGACCGCCGUACCCUCCAUCUGUCAUUCUGAUACGACUAGACGGGCCUUCCGAAUAUUUUUCUUUGCCGCCACUCUCACACACCCCCACGCUGUCUCUUUCUCCGAUACACACACACGCUUUCUUUAAAAUGUGAAAGAAAGUACAAGUGUUACAUCACAUCCGGGGUAACCAUGCAGCAGGCUUAUCUUGCAUCUUUCUCUUUCUAAUUUUAUUUAUCAAAUAUUUUUUUUAGCAGUUUUAGGAAAACUAC